UUGACAUGAGUGAUUUGACUAAAGUUCAAAAAUAUUUCAAAAUGAUUUUUUAAAAUGAAUUUGAAAAUGGCUUUGGAAUAAAAGAAAAGAAAAUAGAAAACAAAAAUAAUAAAGACAAACCCCUCCUCCAUCUGUUUUGGCCCGAAGGCCCAAAACCCUCCCCCUCGCUUGGCCCAGCUCGGCGCUCUCCCCUCUCAGGCCCAGCGCACGUGGCCCAACUUCUCUUCUCUCUCUCACAAUUGGCCCAGCCUGGCUAGCAGCACAGCUCCCGGCCCAGGCGCGUCUUUCCCUCCCUUCACCUCCUCUCUAGCCGUUGGGUCCCGCCCGUUGGUGUUUCCCCUC
rnacentral:lncRNA from 1 species